rnacentral:rRNA from 1 species
GAUGAACGCUGGCGGCGUGCCUAAUACAUGCAAGUCGAGCGAACAGACGAGGAGCUUGCUCCUCUGACGUUAGCGGCGGACGGGUGAGUAACACGUGGAUAACCUACCUAUAAGACUGGGAUAACUUCGGGAAACCGGAGCUAAUACCGGAUAAUAUAUUGAACCGCAUGGUUCAAUAGUGAAAGACGGUUUUGCUGUCACUUAUAGAUGGAUCCGCGCCGCAUUAGCUAGUUGGUAAGGUAACGGCUUACCAAGGCGACGAUGCGUAGCCGACCUGAGAGGGUGAUCGGCCACACUGGAACUGAGACACGGGCCAGACUCCUACGGGAGGCAGCAGUAGGGAAUCUUCCGCAAUGGGCGAAAGCCUGACGGAGCAACGCCGCGUGAGUGAUGAAGGUCUUCGGAUCGUAAAACUCUGUUAUUAGGGAAGAACAAAUGUGUAAGUAACUAUGCACGUCUUGACGGUACCUAAUCAGAAAGCCACGGCUAACUACGU